CCCCUAGAUGUACUGGGCCGCACGCGCGCUACACUGAACAGUUCAACAAGUCUUAACCUUGGCCGAUAGGUCUGGGUAAUCUUUGAACGCUGUUCGUGAUUGGGAUAGACCUUUGCAAUUAUGGGUCUUCAACGAGGAAUUCCUAGUAAACGCAAGUCAUCAGCUUGCAUUGAUUACGUCCCUGCCCUUUGUACACACCGCCCGUCGCACCUACCGAUUGAAUGGUCCGGUGAAAUCUCGGGACGGCGGCUCGGUCGCUUGCGUCCGACUGCUGAAACUUGAUUAAACCAUAUCAUUUAGAGGAAGGUGAAGUCGUAACA
rnacentral:rRNA from 1 species